rnacentral:rRNA from 1 species
AUUGAACGCUGGCGGCAUGCCUUACACAUGCAAGUCGAACGGCAGCACGGGAGCAAUCCUGGUGGCGAGUGGCGAACGGGUGAGUAAUAUAUCGGAACGUGCCCAGUAGUGGGGGAUAGCCCGGCGAAAGCCGGAUUAAUACCGCAUACGACCUACGGGUGAAAGCGGGGGAUCGCAAGACCUCGCGCUAUUGGAGCGGC